rnacentral:lncRNA from 1 species
GGCUGGGUCUCUCUGUCCCCCUCCCAUGGUGGCCUGCACCAUCCAGCCCUGGGUACCCCAAAGUGUAUGGCCCUAAGUCCACCUUCCAGACUCUGCCCCAGCUGCCCAGAACACACAGGUUUCCAGAACCACAAUGAUCCACUGGCCUAACAGCACCUCCAGCCCCAUCCUGUGUCCCUGUGUCCUUGUGUCCCCUUGUCCCAUAUGCUGGGUUCUUCCCAGCCCUGUGUCUGUAUGCUGCCAUGUACUGUGUCCCUGUGUCCUGUUUCCCCAUGUCCCAUGUCCAGUGUCCCUGUGUCCCCAUGUCCCUAUGUCCCAUGUCCCAUUUCCAGCCCUGUAUCCCUGUGACUUGUAUACCCAAGUCUUGUGUCCUGUGUCCCAUGUCCUGUGUCCUGGUUCCUCCCAGCCCCACGUCCCUCUGUCUUCAUGUUCCAUUCCCAGACCUGUGCCCCUGUGUCUCUAUGCCCCUAUAUCCCCAUGUCCUAUGUCCCUGUGUCCUGUGCCUCCAUGAUCUGUGUCCCCAUGUCCUGUGUCCCUGUAUCUUGUGUUCCAUGUCCCCAUGUCCCAUUCCCAGCCCUGUGUCCCAUGUCUUGUGUCCCCAUGUCCUAUAUCCCUAUGUCCUGUGUCCCCAUGUCCCUAUGUCCCCAUAUCCUGUGUCCAUGUCCUGUGUCACUGUUUUCUCAUGUCCUGUGUCCCUGUGUCCUGUGUCCCCAUGUCCUGUGUUCAUGUUCUGUGUCCCCAUGCCCCACAUCUUGUGUCCCAUGUCCUGUGUCCCUGUGUCCUAUGUCCCUGUGUCCCCGUGUCCUGUGUCCCCAUGUCCUGUGUCCCGUGUCCCUCUCCACGAUCUCAGCUCCCUCAAACACACUCACAUGCACACACUAUCACACAGGCUUGCACACACUUACACACACAUGCCCCCCCCCACCAGCUUCCCCCUGUGUGCCCCAGAUGUCCCAAUGCCCAGUUUGCCCUUCCACCCACCUCCCUACAGACAGCCCUUGACCCACCUAGACCAGCUCCCAUGUCACCAGGCAGGCCCAUCCCGUGGCCAAGCACCAAUGCCUCAGGCUGGCUGGGAGAAUACCUACUCCCCUUAUUCCUAACAUGGAGGGCAGAGGGUGGCCCCCAUGGCAUGGUUGUGGGUCCCCCUAGCCUCAUGUCCAGGCUCAGAG